rnacentral:rRNA from 2 species
UGGGGAAUAUUGGACAAUGGGCGCAAGCCUGAUCCAGCCAUGCCGCGUGAGUGACGAAGGUCUUCGGAUUGUAAAGCUCUUUUGGCGGGGAAGAUAAUGACGGUACCCGCAGAAUAAGCCCCGGCUAACUUCGUGCCAGCAGCCGCGGUAAUACGAAGGGGGCUAGCGUUGUUCGGAAUCACUGGGCGUAAAGCGCACGUAGGCGGAUGUGCCAGUCAGGGGUGAAAUCCCGGAGCUCAACUUCGGAACUGCCUCUGAUACAGCACGUCUUGAGUCCGGAAGAGGUGGGUGGAAUUCCUAGUGUAGAGGUGAAAUUCGUAGAUAUUAGGAAGAACACCGGUGGCGAAGGCGGCCCACUGGUCCGGUACUGACGCUGAGGUGCGAAAGCGUGGGGAGCAAACAGG